rnacentral:misc_RNA from 1 species
GAGAUUAAAAUGUCAAUGUUUUUGUUGCAAUCUCUUAAAUUGGGACAAAUUCAACUUGCAAGAAUCUUGAAAUUGAACCAAUAUGAACUGAAUAUAACAUCCAUGGUUCUUUCUCUAGAACACACACACAGAAUGGAGCAAAGACAUGAUCUUUUUUCCUCUACCACUUCCUGGUAGAUGAGGUCCUUGAACACUUGACAAAGUUCUGUCAUUCAGAGGUUGAACGAGCAAGUUCUUGCAUAAAAUCAAGCAUUUUACAUGGUUAUGCUUCUGGCUUACUGGCUUGGUUAUGCAGAGCUUGAAGCAUACUUCCAAAACCAAGUUCCAGAAAGGAGCUUUCUGCACGCCUUCUUCUGGCAUUGUCUCUUUUAUCCGCUUCUACUCAUACUUUAGAACACUGCUGUUUGAAUUGACGACUGACAUAUCAAUCACAGUAAGCUUCUAGAUCAUGCCAUAAUUAUAUCAUGACAAACCUUGCUUAAAAUUAUGAAUACACUCAUUCAUCCAAAUCAGUAACAGGCACAUGACCACCCGAGAUCAACGAACUGUAGAUCUAGCGCAACAUGUGCUACAGUUUAUUGACACAAUAUUCAUGUUAAUCAUACAAUGCUUUUUUAAGCAUACACAAAUUCAUUCUGACAUGCAAUACAAUUUGUACACAAAUUCUUUCUUGAUCCAAUAUACAGUCCAGACAUCACACACAUUUUAUUUGAGAAGAAAAACAGCAAAUAGAUUCCUUCAUUACUCCUUCAAGCUGAAGAUGAUGUUCUUUGGAGCAAAAGAGGCCGGUUUCUUUUCUCAGUCUGCAGGCAAAUGUGACAGGACAAUUUAUUAAGAGGAAUUAUGAAUCUUACCUAAACUUUCAGCAGAUUGAAUUUUUUAUGUUUGUGCUUAUGUGUUCAAAUUAUGCAUGGAAUCUCACCUCUCCACUACAAAAUCUCAAUAUUUGGGAUGUGCUGCACCUUUGAAUGAUCUUUGCUUUCCUUGUCAUUUAUGCUGCCUACAAGUCUUGAAGAACUUGAUGACAAUAAUAGAGUUUGGAGAAUGGCUAGAGAUUCAAUACCUUGAGGCAGUGCAUUUAACGCCUUGCAGGAGGCAAGACAUAAUAGCUGGAUAUUUGGCAUUGUCCCCUUCUCUAUAGUUAUUAAUCUCAGCUGAGGGAAAUUAGACAACCAUAAACUUCUAAGCUUAAGAAAGACCCCAGAGAAAUGUAGCUCUUCUCCAACAAAGGCGUUAUCUAGAUCAAGAUUUCCCAAAUGAGGUAGAUCUGCAAUGUGAUGGAGAAUAUCUUCCUCUAAUCUAGACCAAUGCAAAUACAAACAUGUCAAGUGCUCAAGUGAUUUAAACCAACAUGGUACCCUUUCCAGUUUCCCAACCAAAAUCAGCUUUUGAAGCAGGGGUGGGGUUGUUUUCAAUGCGUCCACUCGAAGGAACUCUGCUUCAUCGCUUGCCAUAAGAAACAAAUAGUGUAGUAGUUUCAGAUUCUGGAUUGAAGAGCACAAGACCAUCUCAUCUACAGCUCUCAAAUUUGAAAUGCCCAUUCUGGUCAAUUGGUUCAUGCUCCCAAGUUGCCUUAUUACAUCACCUUCUGCUUCAACAAAAGACAUGACUUGCAAUUUCUUCAACUUGUUAAUUUUAAAUGGAGCUCGAGUACCUCUCACAUAUCGAAAAUAAUGGUCAGGCCCACGAUUAUAAUGAUACAUAAUUAGAUUUUGUAAGUUUUGCAACUCAGCUACUCCUUUUGGAAGUUUCUUAAUUUGUGUGUCUCUAAUGUUCAAGGUCUCAAGGUUACGAAGUUUUCCGAUGCAUUGUGGAAGCUCUGCCACUUGGGUUCCUUUCAAGUUCAAGUACCUUAAGUUGAAUAGAGUCUCUAGCCCAUCUGACAAUUUCUCAAUCCUAGCAUCUUCCAAAUCCAAGACCCUCAACAAUUUGAAUUUGGAUAGCAGUGUAUUUGGGAAACACAUGUGCUUCACAAACACAAACAAAGAACGAAGUUGUGACAUACCUCUGUAUGAUUCAGAGUCCCCAUCAGCGGUAAGGAUAGACAAGCGGCGCGCUUUACUUGCCUCAGUCACUACUCGUACAUCAUAAACAGUGCAGAAAUUUUCCCUCUCUGAUAUUGACAGAGCAAGCUCCCGCAAAACAUCAUGCAUCUUGCAUGCUUUUGGCCUUCCAGAUUGAUUUCUCAAUACAACUUGAAGCAUGCUCCGAUAAAUAAGUUCCAUUAGAUAGCUCUCAGCUACUUCUGCUGGGGUAAUCCUAUUAACUCCUUGAAUAAAUCCUUCAGCUAUCCAUAGUCUAAUAAGCCUUUUACGUCGAAUUAUAUAGUCUUCUGGGAAAAGGCAACA